CAGGGACACCCGGGCUCCCGCCUCCCGCGCAGGGCGGCCGCCCCACGUGACGGGAAGCGGCGGCGGCGCGGCCGGCCCAGCCCAGGAGCCGCGGCCGGAGCGGGCGGCGGGCGGCGGGCCCAGGCCCAGGGCCGGCGGGACGCGGGGGCCGGCGGGCGCCGCGCCGGAGCAGGCCAUUGGGACCGGCGCUGGACGCAGGUAGCAGGUGCGAGCGGCAUCUCCGGCGCUGGCUGCGGGUGUGAGGGGGUCGGCGCCAGCAGUGGGUGCAAGUGCCGGGUGGGACCGCGGCGUGCGGGAGCAAAGAAUUUUCAGUAACCACCAGAGGCUCGCCCCACCUUGGUCUGGCGCCCCUGCUCACCUGCUCCACCAUCCCGCCGCAGCCAACACUCACCAUGUUGUGCGCUCUGCUACCCACGCCGAUGCCCACCGUGUUCUGCGCGCACCCUCUGGUGGUCAGCACACGUCAUAGCCACCAGUUGUUCUGACAUUCGGUCUAUUUGCAUAUUAGGGUUUUAUGUAUAGAGAUGACAUCUGUGGAUUCUCAACUGCAGAUUAAAAAUAUUGUUUUCAGCCCUAGCUGGUUUGGCUCAGUGGAUAGACCUCAGCCCACAGACUGAAGGAUCCCAAGUUCGAUUUCGGUCAAGGGCACAUACCUCAGUUGCUGGCUCAAUCUGGGGCAGGCUUGAUCCAGGGCACGUGUGGGAGGCAACCAAUUGAUGUGUCUCUCUCACAUCGAUGUUUCUCUCUGUCCCCUCCUCCCUUCUACUCUCUCUAAAACUCAAUGGAAAAAAUAUCCUUGGGUGAGGAUUAACAAAAAAUAAAUAAAAUGUUGUUUUCAACUGUA